UUGAGAAUCCUAACAAUUAAUUUAUUGUGCAUGUAUUGUUUAAAUUAUUUGUUAGAAUUCUCAAAAACUUGGGUGUCAAGG